GUGGGGAAUCUUGCGCAAUGGGCGAAAGCCUGACGCAGCCAUGCCGCGUGAAUGAUGAAGGUCUUAGGAUUGUAAAAUUCUUUCACCGGGGACGAUAAUGACGGUACCCGGAGAAGAAGCCCCGGCUAACUUCGUGCCAGCAGCCGCGGUAAUACGAAGGGGGCUAGCGUUGCUCGGAAUUACUGGGCGUAAAGGGCGCGUAGGCGGACAGUUUAGUCAGAGGUGAAAGCCCAGGGCUCAACCUUGGAAUUGCCUUUGAUACUGGCUGUCUUGAGUACGGGAGAGGUGAGUGGAACUCCGAGUGGAGAGGUGAAAUUCGUAGAUAUUCGGAAGAACACCAGUGGCGAAGGCGACUCACUGGCCCGUUACUGACGCUGAGGCGCGAAAGCGUGGGGAGCAAACAGGAUUAGAAACCCCUGUAGUCC
rnacentral:rRNA from 1 species